rnacentral:rRNA from 1 species
GGCGAACGCUGGCGGCGUGCUUAACACAUGCAAGUCGAACGGAAAGGCCCUGCUUUUGUGGGGUGCUCGAGUGGCGAACGGGUGAGUAACACGUGAGUAACCUGCCCUUGACUUUGGGAUAACUUCAGGAAACUGGGGCUAAUACCGGAUAGGAGCUCCUGCUGCAUGGUGGGGGUUGGAAAGUUUCGGCGGUUGGGGAUGGACUCGCGGCUUAUCAGCUUGUUGGUGGGGUAGUGGCUUACCAAGGCUUUGACGGGUAGCCGGCCUGAGAGGGUGACCGGCCACAUUGGGAAUGAGGUACGGCCCAGAAUCCUACGGGAGGCAGCAGGGGGGAAUUUUGCACAAUGGGCGGAAGCCUGAUGCAGCAACGCCGCGUGCGGGAUGACGGCCUUCGGGUUGUAAACCGCUUUCGCCUGUGACGAAGCGUGAGUGACGGUAAUGGGUAAAGAAGCACCGGCUAACUACGUG